UACGUAGGGUCCGAGCGUUGUCCGGAAUUAUUGGGCGUAAAGAGCUCGUAGGCGGUUUGUCGCGUCUGCUGUGAAAUCCCGAGGCUCAACCUCGGGUCUGCAGUGGGUACGGGCAGACUGGAGUGCGGUAGGGGAGAAUGGAAUUCCUGGUGUAGCGGUGAAAUGCGCAGAUAUCAGGAAGAACACCCGUGGCGAAAGCGGCUCUCUGGAACGGUACUGACGCUGAGACGCGAAAGCGUGGGGAGCGAACAGG
rnacentral:rRNA from 1 species